rnacentral:rRNA from 1 species
CCCUUAGAUGUUCUGGGCCGCACGCGCGCUACACUGACAGGGCCAACGAGUUCAUCACCUUGGCCGGAAGGUCUGGGUAAUCUUGUUAAACCCUGUCGUGCUGGGGAUAGAGCAUUGCAAUUAUUGCUCUUCAACGAGGAAUGCCUAGUAAGCGCAUGUCAUCAGCAUGCGUUGAUUACGUCCCUGCCCUUUGUACACACCGCCCGUCGCUACUACCGAUUGAGUGAUCCGGUGAAUAAUUCGGACUGCGGCAUUGACCGGUUCCCGAUCGUUGCUGCGGAAAGUUUAGUGAACCUUAUCACUUAGAGGAAGGAGAAGUCGUAACA